rnacentral:rRNA from 1 species
UACAGAGGUGGCAAGCGUUGUUCGGAAUUACUGGGCGUAAAGGGCGCGUAGGCGGCCUUCUAAGUCAGACGUGAAAUCCCCCGGCUUAACCUGGGAACUGCGUCUGAUACUGGAAGGCUUGAAUCCGGGAGAGGGAUGCGGAAUUCCAGGUGUAGCGGUGAAAUGCGUAGAUAUCUGGAGGAACACCGGUGGCGAAGGCGGCAUCCUGGACCGGUAUUGACGCUGAGGCGCGAAAGCCAGGGGAGCAAACGGG